CAGGACGAACGCUGGCGGCGUGCCUAAUACAUGCAAGUCGAACGGUCUUUCUAUGGAAGCUUGCUUCCACUGAGAAGAUAGUGGCGAACGGGUGAGUAACACGUGGGUAACCUGCCCAUAAGAGGGGGGAUAACAUCCGGAAACGGGUGCUAAUACCGCAUAGUUUUCUUGAUCGCAUGAUUGAGAAAGGAAAGACGGCCUUUGUGCUGUCGCUUAUGGAUGGACCCGCGGCGUAUUAGUUAGUUGGUGAGGUAACGGCUCACCAAGACGAUGAUACGUAGCCGACCUGAGAGGGUGAUCGGCCACAUUGGGACUGAGACACGGCCCAAACUCCUACGGGAGGCAGCAGUAGGGAAUCUUCCGCAAUGGACGAAAGUCUGACGGAGCAACGCCGCGUGAGUGAAGAAAAGGGUUUUCGGAUCGUAAAACUCUGUUGUCAGAGAAGAACAAGUUGGAGAGUAACUGCUCCAGCCUUGACGGUAUCUGACCAGAAAGCCACGGCUAACUACGUGCCAGCCGCAGC
rnacentral:rRNA from 1 species